UGAUCUUCUGAGCUGUGACCUCGAGUGAACUGAACAUUAAGGCUGUGUUUUCCUCCGAAACGUUGAUACCCACUCACGAGCCCACACGGCAUUACUUCGCUGCGUUGAGAACAUCAGAUGUUAUAGCACUACCACUGAUCAGACCCACGAGCCGCCACUGGCCGAAACUUCCAUGGAAAACGUCUGAUCUGAAUUGUCAACUGUGCUGGGAUAGCUGCCACCUCACAAUUUCGUUAAGUUACGACAUUGUGGUUUGUUGUAGAAAGAUAAUAAUAUUGAAGAUGGGAAGUUAUCAAGCGGUAUGGCGUCCAUACCGACUGCGAUGAAAAUCGAUCGGCAAAUGUCUUACACUUUUGUAGUUGAGUCAGGAAACGUACGGGCACAUUGAAGCACGCAGUUCGUUAAUAGUGUUCCGAAGAAGGAAAAAUCUUCAGAAGCCUAAAAUGUGUUUUCAGAGAAAGAGCACUCGGUUUCAUUUCGUUACUUUAUUAUUAUUGUUGUUGUUGUUGUUGUUGUUGUGCUUAUUACUGUCGCAUGUCAUUAAGAGUAAGUAACAAUAUCGUAGGGUGUUUUGGAGAGACAACAGCUUUCUUGCCCAUUUGAUAUCUUUGUUUGUUCUGUGGAAAGAAAUCAUUACUUAAAACAAAGUCGAAACCAGAGAGGACCGGUUUUGUCAACAGUUGCCCUGUUGGUAAUCCCAUAAUGCUAACAUAAUAUCUUCUUUCCGAAUAUUUAUAUCAAUAUUUGUCUUCCCUCAAAAGAAUAUAAAAAAGCUAUAACUUUUAACUUAACCUUGGGGCCCCCAGUAACUUCAACGUUUUUUGUAUGUGUCGAUGCACCCGUGCGCGAAACGCGUGUUCUUUUCACUGCCCCCCCACCCCCCAUCAAACAAAUCCAUAGGCGUUUGCUAUACAGAACUGAUUGUGUUAAAGGGACUGGAAGCAGGAGGGUCAGGUAUUUUUUCACAUUGAUAUAAAAUGGCUGACACGUAACUCCUUCCCUUGUCUUCACCCCAUGCAACUUCUAUUGUCGAGAAACCAUUAGUAAAAGCUGUUAGGGGACACAGAAUGCCUGCUACUUUUUUCGCCAUAAAACUGGCAGAAAUAUACCAAAAAUAUAAACCCAGUCUCAUGAUCUCCCAAUAAGAAUCACCACCAGAACAUAAAAGAUCAAGGCUCCAUGAUGCAGUAUUAUAAUGGCAGUGAGUGUAAAAGCAUAUAAUGUCGUAAAUUUGCCAAUAAAAUGUGAAGAAUAA